rnacentral:rRNA from 1 species
UGGGGAAUUUUGGACAAUGGGGGCAACCCUGAUCCAGCGAUGCCGCGUGAGUGAAGAAGGCCUGCGGGUUGUAAAGCUCUUUCAGUGGGGAGGAAGGUAAUGAGGUUAAUAACCUUGUUAAUUGACGUUACCCGCAAAAGAAGCACCGGCUAACUCUGUGCCAGCAGCCGCGGUAAUACAGAGGGUGCGAGCGUUAAUCGGAAUUACUGGGCGUAAAGGGCGUGUAGGUGGUUUAGUAAGUUUGAUGUGAAAGCCCCGGGCUUAACCUGGGAACUGCGUUGAAAACUGCUGGACUAGAGUUGGACAGAGGGUGGUGGAAUUUCCGGUGUAGCGGUGAAAUGCGUAGAGAUCGGAAAGAACAUCCGUGGCGAAGGCGGCCACCUGGGUCCAAACUGACACUGAGGCGCGAAAGCGUGGGGAGCAAACAGG